rnacentral:misc_RNA from 1 species
GAUGAAGAACGCAGCGAAAUGCGAUACGUAAUGUGAAUUGCAGAAUUCAGUGAAUCAUCGAGUCUUUGAACGCACAUUGCGCCCCCUGGUAUUCCGGGGGGCAUGCCUGUCCGAGCGUCAUUGCUGCCCUCAAGCACGGCUUGUGUGUUGGGCCUCCGUCCUCCUCCCGGGGGACGGGCCCGAAAGGCAGCGGCGGCACCGCGUCCGGUCCUCGAGCGUAUGGGGCUUCGUCACCCGCUCUUGUAGGCCCGGCCGGCGCUUGCCGACACAUCAAUCUUUUUUCCAGGUUGACCUCGGAUCAGGUAGGGAUACCCGCUGAACUUAAGAAUAUCAAUAAGCGGAGGA